CAGAUACAGUGAUGAUGGCAUAGUUCAGCAGAAUAUCUUGUGAUGAACGGUUCUGUCUUUCGCUCCUAUCUGAUGUAUCUA
rnacentral:snoRNA from 1 species